rnacentral:pre_miRNA from 1 species
GUCUCCUCGCAUCCUUAUCAUUCUCGUGUCCAGGCUGAGCAUGGAUCGAGAUCUGGACGGAGAACUGAUAAGGGCACGUGGAAGA